rnacentral:lncRNA from 1 species
UAAAGUAUAAAACAAGCCACAACACAACUUCGAUUAUUACAAACCCAAAUCCCAAAAUAAAAACUUAAAUCUUACAAGCUUACACGUCAUUUGUGUCUCAUUAUUCAAAUUAAUACAUAUAUCAAAAGUCAAGCGCUGCCGAUAGCUCUCUCCAUCUCUCAGCCUGGAAUCCUGGCCUUACCACUAGCCUGAGUAUCAUCGUUACCAACCUUCUCUGCUUUCACUGGAAAGAACAUAGAGUAUCGCAAGAGUGAGCUGACAAGCUCAGCAAGUAUAAUAAUAUCCAUUUAAACAUUUAUCAAAAGAUGAUGGAAGUCAGUAUUUAAGAGAAUCAAUCUCAAUAUCAAAGUUUCUUUUUAGAUUUUCAAUUAGAAUUGGAUAUUAAAUUUUAUUUUUAAAAACCAAAGGUUAGGCUGCUGAUCAGUCAGACACUAACCCCGAGCAGGCCCCGCCAUGCUCGUUUACUGGAUCCAAGGCACACAUUGGCCUAAAGUGACCACUCAUCUGGUCUGACCAUUCAUUUGGUCCAUUUAAGAAAACUAUCCAAUUCUAUUAUAAAUCAGGAUGAAUAACAACAUAAUGCAAUAAACAGAAUCAUUAAGAACAUAAUUAAAUUUUUGGAGCAGAAACAGAAUUCAGUUCAGAAGCAUCUUAAAGAUAUUCCAUAAUGAGAAUCAGGAAUAAUUUCACGAGUUAAGGAAUCAGAUAUAGCAUAUCUGGAUUUCCAAGCGAAACAAUAAUCAUGAUUUGUAUGAAAGAAGGUUUCCGGUUUUAUUAAAAGAUCCACAUGUCAAAGGGUGUUGUCAAAUCCAAAGAAGUUAGGUUAUAAAAAAAAAAAAAAAAAAAAUAAACAAUUAUGGGGUAUAUGGUGUUUCAAGUAUGAUUGACUUCCGAUCAAUUGGUUUGGAUAGUAAAGGUGUGUCAAAACAUUGAAAUAAGGUUUAUAGGGUAGUUAUCCAAAAAUCUCAAGGGUUGAAGGUUUACAAUUGAAUAAGGUUUCCAAAAUAGAUAUCAAAGAAUCAAGUUAAGGGCUCAAGAAUCAAUAAAUGAAUAAUCCAAGUGAUAGUCAAAGAAUCUGGUUGAUGGUUUAAGAAUCGAUGAAUUAAACAAUUCAUGAUAUGGCUCAUUAAGUGUCAUGAGUGAAUUAGAAAGCUCGCAAAGCAAUCACAUCAAGGAUCAUAUAUAUAUAUUUGAAGGAAAGUACCAAGGAAACUUGCCUUAUACUGACGAUUUCAAAUUUCAAUCGCUCCUGCUCGAUAUACUAUUCUAUAUCCACUUGCUUUCCCCCUCUAAUACGCCUGGCUUCUCUGCUAAUCAUCACAACUAAUUAUCAAUAUGUGAUCUCAUACUAUUCUCAUCAUCUUACAUUCGAAACGGGCUUCUAUCUACCCUUCGUUUCACCCAAAUCCGAUUUACGGAUCAAAAGAUAUAUCAAAAACAAUUUUAUAUCAAUCACGUAAACACAUAACAUCUCAAUCAAAUAGCACAUAGCACGUAUCACAUAAAAUAUUUAAUAAAAUAUAUUUUUCAAAAGAAGUUUGAAGUCAAACGGAUUUUUCUGGUAUUUAUUAUGAAUUUUUAAACAUUUUUCAGAAUUAAAACGGGUCAAAGAACCAUUUAUAAUAAAUAAUCCAUUUCUGGAUACUCGAAAACACAUCCGAAAUCAUUUGAAAUCAAUUAACGAGCUUCAAUCAUAUUUUAGAAUAAUAUUUUAAAGCUCGAAACUAUUUUUCGGAAUUUUAAAAUCAUUUAAAAAUAUUUAAAAUCAUUAAAUCCAAUUAAUAAAUCAAUUAAAAUCAAUUAAUAAUUAAUUAAAACAAUUAAUCAAUUAAUAAUUAAAUUAAUUGACUAACUAUAAUAAUUAAUUACUAAUUAAAAUUAAUUAAUAAAUUAAAUCAGAUUUAUUUUUGAAUUAAUAAAUAAUUAAAAACAAUUUUUGAAAUUAAAAUAAAUGAUUUUCGAAAUUAAAUUUAAAUAAAUAAAACUUUUAAAAGAUUUUAAAAAUUCAAGGUUUGAUUUGCAAACUUUGAAAGUACAGUACCUCAGCUUCAUCAUAUUCAAAAGCCGAGGUACUGAACUGCAUUUUGGCCGGCGGCCGAAUUACUUUCGCCGGAAACGGCGGUUCCGGCCACCUCCGGCCCCCAAAACCUCCAGAUCACUAGCAGGGAUGACCCUGAGUACUCCUGCACCUCCCAAUCUCACAACCAACCUCAAUCGAGGCCGGAAAUGGAGAACGAAGCUCGCCGGCGGCGAGCCACGUUUCCAGAAUCCGGCGAGCUAUACAUAGCUCUUUCAACUGAUUUGGACACAUAAACAUACUCCCCUCAACACGCCCUUUCUACUGAUACUAUCCACAUCAACCCAGACUUAACGGAUUGAAAAUCCGGCCAAAAAUUCAACUUUUCCGGCAACAAUCCUCAAGAACACCAAGAACACAAUUUCAAUAAUUAAACUGACUUUUCUACAUGUUAUUGAACUCCAAAUCAAGCAUAUGAUAUACCAAAAUGACCAGGAGAAGAUUAUCUACAACAUACAAUCAUCAAAUCACACAAACAACUUCAAAAUCAAAAAUCCCUAAUUUGAGAUUAUUUACUUCGAAUUUAAAACUCAAAAUCCAAACCCACCUGAUGUUGCUGCACUGAUUUUGAUGCUAGAUUAUGAUUCUACUUGUUAAAACCUUCAAUUUGAGUCCUUGAACGCCAAAAUCCGAGUCCGAUAACGCGUCCAAAUCCUCGUUUGAAUCUCAAGAACACGAAGAACUCUCUCGGGAAUUUCUCGGUUUUAACUGGUUUUAUGAUUUUCGUAAUAAAAUAAAGUACGGUUAAGUAUAUUUAUACUUAUGAAUAAUUAGUACCCCUUUGAAUCAUAUAUGGCAUGAAAAUACAAUGUUUAAUAGCUUUAUACUAAUAAAACGGGUCCAAUCGGUACCGGUUUUCGAGAUAAUCAUCAAACGGGGCUUUUUAAUCCGUCAUUAGUAUGCGGGUCCCACCGUCAUUAUGACAAGAUAAGGAUAAGUAUAAAAUAAC